UGCCUCCACCUUCGUCGUCACUAUUUUCGAUACACUGGAUUCGCUCGCUUUAUAUUGUACAGUUGCCAACUUAAUUCCAGAUUCAACUUUCUUAACCCCAAGCUCGACUGAUGAUGCCUUUGCAUCACCACUCAGCAGCUCUGUCAUCUCCUUUUCCUUCUGCUUCGCCUCACCGCUCAGCAGCUCUGACAUCUCCUUUUCCUUCUGCUUUGCCUCACCACUCAGUAGUUGAGCCAUCUCUUUUUCCUUCUGUUUCUUCUCCUUUUUCAACCGCUUCCGUUCCAGAUACUCUGGAUCUUCCCGCUUCCUUUUUUUCUCUUUCUCCUUCUUCUCUUUUGC
rnacentral:lncRNA from 1 species